UACAGAGGGUGCAAGCGUUGUUCGGAAUUAUUGGGCGUAAAGCGCGUGUAGGCGGCCCGGCAAGUCAGGUGUGAAAGCCCUCGGCUUAACCGAGGAAGUGCGCCUGAAACUAUCGGGCUUGAGUACCGGAGAGGGCGGCGGAAUUCCCGGUGUAGAGGUGAAAUUCGUAGAUAUCGGGAGGAACACCAGCGGCGAAGGCGGCCGCCUGGACGGUCACUGACGCUGAGACGCGAAAGCGUGGGAGC
rnacentral:rRNA from 1 species